AAGUCAUAGCAAGGUUUUAGUAGGUGAACCUACAAAAGUAUCAUUG
rnacentral:rRNA from 1 species